rnacentral:rRNA from 1 species
AUUGAACGCUGGCGGUAUGCUUAAGACAUGCAAGUCGAACGGUAACAGGUUAAGCUGACGAGUGGCGGACGAGUGAGUAACGCGUGGGAAUCUACCUUGUAGUGGGGGAUAAGCCAGGGAAACUUGGACUAAUACCGCAUACGCCCUAAGGGGGAAAGGCGCAAGUCGCUAUAAGAUGAGCCCGCGUCUGAUUAGGUAGUUGGUGGGGUAAAGGCCUACCAAGCCGACGAUCAGUAGCUGGUCUGAGAGGAUGAUCAGCCACGUCGGGACUGAGACACGGCCCGGACUCCUACGGGAGGCAGCAGUCGGGAAUAUUGGACAAUGGGGGAAACCCUGAUCCAGCAAUACCGCGUGUGUGAAGAAGGCCUGCGGGUUGUAAAGCACUUUCAGUUGGGAAGAUAAUGACGUUACCAACAGAAGAAGCACCGGCUAACUCCGUGCCAGCAGCCGCGGUAAGGUGCGCGAGU